GAUGAAGAACGCAGCGAAAUGCGAUAAGUAAUGUGAAUUGCAGAAUUCAGUGAAUCAUCGAAUCUUUGAACGCAUCUUGCGCCCCCUGGUAUUCCGGGGGGCAUGCCUGUCCGAGCGUCAUUGCUGCCCUCAAGCACGGCUUGUGUGUUGGGCCUCCGUCCUCCUCCCGGGGGACGGGCCCGAAAGGCAGCGGCGGCACCGCGUCCGGUCCUCGAGCGUAUGGGGCUUCGUCACCCGCUCUUGUAGGCCCGGCCGGCGCUUGCCGACACAUCAAUCUUUUUUCCAGGUUGACCUCGGAUCAGGUAGGGAUACCCGCUGAACUUAAGCAUAUCAAUAAGCGGAGGA
rnacentral:misc_RNA from 1 species